ensembl:lincRNA
CAUGAAGUUGACUAAAUUGUUAGUUUAAAGAAGAUUGUGAGUGUCAGCACAUAAAAAGGUAAUCCUGUCUCAAUUGUAGCUACAGAUUGCAAGUCCUGUGUCAAUUCAAAUUUUUGCCAACAGAUACUAAUUACUUCACUGAAAGCAGAUGUUUAGAAAUGAAAGUGUAAACACAACCCUGGUUGAUUAAUAUGCUUAUUGUAUUUCCUUGUUGUAAGUCUAGUGAAUAUUUGAUUAUCUUUAAAUUGAUCCAUAGUAUAUUCAAUAGUCUCAUGAGAACAUAAUUUUUGUUGAUGAUUUGUCCAAAGUUUCUAUCAAUCCAUCCUAGCAGCAGAGCCAAGUGUUAGAGUUAUUGCUGCCUGAGUUAUAACAGCUGCCCUGGGAAUCUUGUCUGAACAACAAGUUAACUGCUGUUCCCAGUUAUAUCUGGUCUUUCCCACCCCCAAACAUACACAAAAGAUUUUUGUCAUUCUUGGCAUUGGACAGCAGAAGUGGUAAGACAUGCCAGCAGAACUCUAAAGGCAGAAUGUCCUUCCACCUGUUUUAUGCUGUAAGACAAACUUCCAAGUGCGAGGCAGUGUGGAGGACUGUUUCCUUGAAUGGCAGCUGAAUGCACCAGCGGGAUCCUUGGCAGCAAUGCCCAGGCACUGAAGCCGGGCAUUCAGGAGAGCUAAAUGGAGAAAAAAAACUUGAGCAAACUGCUUCCUGGAACACUGAGAACCUGAAUGGGAAAUUAAGAAGAACCAGAUUCUUUCUAUUCUUCCACCAGCCAAGCAACUUCAGGAUGGGGGAAUCAAGCAAAACCAUGGUGAAGAGAUUUAAAGAGGACAAGUGACUUAUUCUACAUCUCAGGAGACACUUCCUUAAGGUGAUGAUCAUAAAAGGAUCCAUCUUAUACAGUGCUUGCCAUCUUCCACAAUACUACUCACCACGAUGCUGAAAUCACCUGUUCCAGAACCAAUCCUGUCCUUUGACAAGAAGAAUUUAAUUAUCAGUUCUGGUGGGAACCGGCUGGAGAGAGGGAAAACACUUCAAGGACUCUGCCACCAUUCCCAGACGGAGAGUGCAGAGUUUGUACCAUGGAACUCCUUCUCUAACAGUUACUCUGUGGCAGUGCCUAUUUUGAACCUCCCUUAACUUCUGAUUGUAUAGAUGUUUGUUUCAUUUGUUCAUCUGUUUGUUCACUUAAUCAGAGCUGUCUUAAGCCUUAAGAGAGAUAGUGGACUAGAAAGUGCCUUGGAAAGGUACAAAGCUCAAUCCAAGUAACAUAACUUGAAUAUCAAAGAUGUAUUUACUAUAGGUUACCAGUUCUGCUCUUUUUUGUUUGUUUGUUUUUAAACUAGGAACUUAUGAAGCCUAAAAUAUAAAAUGUAUAUACAUGGAUAUGCUCUGAAGUGAGGUAGAGGGGUAGAAAUCAACAUUGUGAUACUGUACUAUAGCUUUGCAAGAUGUUACCACUGGGGGAAAAUGCUUGAAGCGUACACAGGAUAUCUCCGUCUUAUUUCUUACAACUGCAUGUGAAUCUACAGUUAUCUCAAAAUAAAAA